rnacentral:rRNA from 1 species
GAUGAACGCUGGCGGCGUGCCUAACACAUGCAAGUCGAACGAAGCGCUUUGAAGUUUUCGGACAGAUGAGUGACUGAGUGGCGGACGGGUGAGUAACGCGUGGGUAACCUGCCUCAUACAGGGGGAUAACAGUUAGAAAUGACUGCUAAUACCGCAUAAGCGCACAGCAUCGCAUGAUGCAGUGUGAAAAGCCGAGACGGUAUGAGAUGGGCUUGCGGUGCAUUAGCUAGUUGGUGGGGUAAUGGCCUACCAAGGCGACGAUGCAUAGCCGAACUGAGAGGUUAAUCGGGCCACACUGGGACUGAGACACGGCCCAGACUCCUACGGGAGACAGCAGUUAGGAAUAUUCGUCAAUGGGGGAAACCCUGAACGAGCAAUGCCGCGUGAGUGAUGAAGGUCCCUGGAGUUGUAAACGUACUGUUGUUUGGUAAGUAAAGUUAGU